UUUUUUUUUUUUUUUUUUUUUUUUUUUGCGUGAGCAACAAGGCUGUUUAUUCACUUGAGUGCAAGUGGGCUGAGUCUGAAAACAGAGUCAGUGAAGGGAGAUGGGGAAGGGGUUGCUUUAUAGGAGUUGGGUAGGUAAUGGAAAAUUACAGUAAAAGGUGGUUAUCUAUUGUUAGCAGAGGAGGGGGUCACAAGGUACAUGGUGGGGAGAUGAUAAAACCCAUUGUCCAGAAGAAGACUGUCACAAGGUCGAUUGAUCAGUUAAGGUAGGACAGGGACAGGUCACAAUGGUGGAAUGUUGUAAUGUUGGUUAAUCAGUUAAGGCAGGAACUGGCUGUUUUACUUCUUGUGUGGUUUUUCAGCUGCCCCAGACUUCUUGGCUUCUGCAGGCCAUCUGGACAUAUAUGUGCAGGUCACAGGGAUUACAAUGGCUGAGCUUCGGCUCAGAGGCCUGACACCUCUUACUUCUGAGGGAUUGCUCAAGGUAGAAGGUUAAUAAAUUCUUAAACUAUCCCCCACUUUCACUACAGAGAUUAAGAGUACAGUUCUGUCCAAGGAUUUGAUCUGGCCCAACAAAGAGCCUUCUUCAGAAGUGGAUUAGUUUUGUCCUUUGGUGAGGCUUGUGAUGGGCCUUAUUUAUUCGUAUUGUAGGCCUCUUAUACUAUUCCAAAAACAAGACAAGGGAACUGAAACCACUUCGCAUAAUAAUGUCACCUAUUAUCUCCAGUGAGGCUAGUCUGGUCACCUCUGGAUCAAUAGUACUCUUUUUUUUUUUUUGAGAUGGAGUUUUGCUCUUCUU
rnacentral:antisense_RNA from 1 species